AGUUUUUAAAAAUACAGCCAUAUCGGCAGCCAUAUUGUGGAAAGACGCGCUGUUUCAUAUUGAUGCUUGCGAGAGAAUGUUUCCCUGCAUGCCAAACAAAGAAAUGAGUUGACUCAGAGGCUUUGUAAAUGCCUGUAAAUGCCUGUACUGUACGGGCACUCAUACAAGGCGCGUGAUUGUCAUGUUUACCACUGUUUUACAUAAAAUCUUCUUUUAACAACAUUCAAUAAACAUUUGGGAACUGAGGACACGAACGGUUAAAGCUUUGUAGGUGGAAUUCUUUCCCAUUCUUGCUUGAUGUACGGCAUCAGCUGUUCAACAAUCCUGGGUCACCGUUGUUAUAUUUUACGCUUCAUAGUGCGCCACACACUUUCAAUGGGAGACAGGUCUGGACUGCAGGCAGGCCAGUCUAGUACCCGCACUUUUUUAUUAUGAAGCCACGCUGUUGUAACACGUGCCGAAAGUGGUUUGGCAUUGUCUUGCUGAAAUAAGCAAGGCCAUCCAUGAAAAAGACGUUGCUUGGAUGGCAGCAUAUGUUUCUCCAAAACCUGUAUGUACCUUUCAGCAUUAAUGGUGCCUUCACAGAUGUGUAAGUUACCCAUUCCAUUGGCACUAACACGGCCCCAUACCAUCACAGAUGCUGGCUUUUGAACUUUGCACCCAUAAGAGUCCGGAUGGUUCUUUUCCUCUUUGGCCCGGAGGACACGACAUCCACAAUUUCCAAUAACAAUUAGAAAUGUGGACUCGUCGGACCACAGAACAUUUUCCUUAAACUGUUCGACUAUCGACUAUUUUCUCACGUACUUGUUCACAAAGAGGUGAACCUCGCCCCAUCUUUGCUUGUGAAUGACUGAGGAAUUCAGGGAAGCUCCUUAUAUACCCAAUCAUGGCACCCACCUGUUCCCAAUUAGCCUGUUCACCUGUGGGAUGUUCCAAACAGGUGUUUGAUGAGCAUUCCUCAACUUUCUCAGUCUUUUUUCCCACAUGUCCCAGCUUUUUUGGAAUGUGUUGCAGCCAUAAAAUUCAAAGUUAAUGAUUAUUUGCUAAAAACAAUCAAGUUUAUCUGUUUGAACAUUAAAUAUCUUGUCUUUGUAGUGUAUUCAAUUAAAUAUAGGUUGAACAUGGUUUGCAAAUCAUUGUAUUCUGUUUUUUAUUUAUGUUUAACACAACGUCCCAACUUCAUUGGAAUUGGGGUUGUAUAUAAUUACAUGCAAUGUAUCUGUAUGGUAUCUAUACAUGUAGAAAAAGGGUCAAAAUGUGAAUAAAAGGUUAAAAUAACAAUCAAUAUAGAUCAACUUAUUAUACUGUAUAAGAAUGCUAACAACAAGAUGUUAUAAGACCGAUCACACAGUAAGAUACACAUGAAAAAUGUGUACGUACAUGGUGGGGGGAAUGACACUUUAUGAACAAAUGUUUUUUGGACACAUGGUGAAAUAUGAGAGAUUAGAUCAUGUGAUAAUAGUGCGUGAGAAUAGCUUUCUCACAGUGUGAAUAUUGUGAUAAGGAACCUACUCCUCUGGAUGUAGUUAAGCAAACAGUGGCACUGAGGAAUUUACAGUAAUUCUUUCCAGACUUUAAGGAAGGGAGUGUCCUGCUGUUUGGCCUCUGUGUGAUUGUGACAGAUGCGAAUGAAAAGGCUGAAGUAGCAUAAUGUUUAUGUUUUUCAACGUUACCCUUAAAAGUUGCACCAUAACCACCAUUUCAAACCGCUGAGAUGUCCAGAAGGAAUUUUAUCACUUUCAAAGGACUUAAACUUUGAUCUUUCUUGUUUGGCCAUCUGGUCAACUAAUUAGCUGCUUCCUCUCAAAUGAAUAAAAGUUAAGAGUGGACAUUGAGGUAGUCUGAAGUUGAGGGGUGGCCCAUAAGCUAAAUUACUUUGGCUUUUGGCUUCUGGAACAUGGUGCUGCGGGCAUCGCAUGUGUUGGCACAAGGUGCGGCCACUUCAGAUGUGGUCUGGGACAUGUGGAAGCUUCUAGGGUUUAUCCGGCCCAACCCAAUGUACAGUACAAAGAGCAAGUGAAUGUGGUAGCAGUCAGACACGAGCCAACCUGUGUUCAAACAAGCAUUACAGUAGCGUUACUACUCUACAUGUGUGUUUGUGUAUGCGCGCAGUUUGUGAGCCUUUACUAUGACUCUGUAAAUAAUAAAACAUAACUAAUGAGAAUAUUUACCUUUGUUUUACCUAAUGGUCCCGUUCCAUAAUUUUUAAAAAAUAAUCUUUGAUGUCCUUUUAUUGCGUUUGCAUCACCAUUUUGGUUGGAAAUGGCCAAAAUGUCCCUUUUCAAGCUAUUCUAGUUGGUCUUUUCCGCCUGGCAUUUGAGACAGGCAGAUUUCUCAUUAUUAUGUAAAAUGGAAAUGAGGUUUGUGUCAUGAGCGGUGCCCUGCAGUCCUUUUUGUUGGAGCCUGGUGGCGCUUUGCGCUCCUCUCGCCUUCUCUUUCUCCCUCCCUCUCUCUCUUCACAGUAAUCAGCGCCAGGCGUGGCCGCGCACCUGUCAUCAAUCAGCCUCAUCAUCACCUGCAUAAAAGCCUGCCAGAUCCUGGAAAUUCUCGCCGGAGUAUUAACACUCUCUUGCGUGUUCCCUCCGUGUUCCUUGCAUCCACGCUGCCAAGCCAGCCGCCUGACCUCGCCACCGCCUGCCACACUUUCCAUGACUCAACAACCCGCAAGCAUAUCUCAAGGAUCAUCUCCAUUCCCCUUUUUCAAUAAACUUUUCCUCACAACCUUUCAGCCUUCGCCUGCUCUUGGGUCCUGUCUGAAUCCACUUGUGACACUUUGAUCUGAUUGGAUCGUUUGUCUUCCCCAAUUUUAAUAUGGGAAACAGCUUGGGUCUGCAUUGUCCAUAUCAUCUCGUCUACGAGUGUAGAAGCUUGCACAUUGAUAUGCUCUUCCCACCUCGGUCCUCUUCAGCGGGUCAUUGACACACUGACGUCUGGUGAAGAAGGUGUGCUGCCAGGUGCCAUGGCCACCAUGCCAAGUCACCCCGGCUGGUUCUUUUGUUUUUGUUUGUUUUCUUCACAGUUUAACUCCCCAGACCAGACCCUUUCAGCCGGCGAUGAGCAGCCACGGCGGCCUGCGGGACACCUGUCCCUCGUUACUAUCACUGUAAAGCACUUGAAUUGCAAUGGAAUUGUAAGUUAGCUGUUUAAGAAGUUGAUUGCAAGAGGGAAGAAGCUGUUGGAAUGUCUGCUAGUUCUAGUUUGCAUUGAUCGGUAGCGCCUACCGGAGGGAAGGAGCCGGAAGAGCUGGUGACCGGGAUGUGGAGGGUCCGAGAGGAUUUUGCACGAUCUUGUCUUAGUUCUGGCAGCGUGCAAGUCCUCAAGGGUGGGUAGGAGGUACCGACAAUCCUUUCAGCAGUUUUGAUUGUCCGUUGCAGUCGGAGUUUGUUCUUUUUUGUAGCAGCACCAAACCAGACUAUGAUGGAAGAACACAAGACUGAUUCGAUGACCGCUGUGUAGAACUGCCUCAGCAGCUCCUGUGGCAGGCUGUGCUUUCCCCGAAGUCGGAGGAAGUAUAUCCUCUGCUGGGCCUUUUUGAGGACGGAGUUGAUGUUGGUCGCCCACUUCAGGUCCUGAGAGACUGUAAUUUCCAGGAACUGGGAGGUCUCGACGGUUGACACAAGGCAGCUGGACAACAUGAGGGGCAGCUGUGGCGAAGGAUGCCUCCUGAAGUCCACGAUCAUCUCUACAGUCUUGAGCGUGUUCAGCUCCAGGUUGUGUCAGCCGCACCACAGCUUCAGCCGCUCGACUUCCUGUCGAUAUGCAGACUCGUCACCGUCCUUGAUGAGGCCGAUGACAGUGGUGUCAUCUGCAAGCUUCAGGAGUUUGACAGCCGGGUGCGCUGAGGUGCAGUCGUUUGUGUAGAGAGAGAAGAGCAGCGGAGAGAGGACACAACCUUGUGGCGCCCCAGUGCUGAUGCUGCGUGUGGAUCAGGUGGCCUCCCCCAGCCUCACCUGCUGUGUCCUGCCCGUCAGAAAGCUGUAAAUCCACUGGCAGAUGGCAGGUGAGACGCUGAGCUGGAGAAGCUUGGAGGAAAGGAGUUCAGGGAUGAUGGUGUUGAACGCUGAGCUGAAGUCUCCGCUCUGCUGUGUACCGCGCCACUUGCCACUGGACAAUGGACGGGGUACUUCCGACACCCACAGGCGGCGGAACGGCACUGCAAAUGCGGGUUCACAAACCAUCAGUCUCUACCGGACUUGACUGGGAUCUAAGAACUUUACAUGAACGCAACUAGUGACUGUAUUUCUGCAAACUUGAAUGUCUGAUGUCGAAUCUGUUGUCAACUGAACCAGAUGAAAUGUUUCACUCCACACCACACAAAUACCACAUUGCAAAUAUUACAGUGUCCUCAACAAACACAUACAAUGGAAACAUUCGUUACAGGGAUUAAAGAGGAUGAGUGCGGGACAAUGCAAACCGGGAAAAUGGUCUCGUUAUCUUAAAUCCAAUGAUUAAUAUUUUAUUCCACUGGUUUUAAACCACAAACUACUAAAAUGAAAUGCAAUUCUAAAGGUGCGGUCCGCCUUCCAUUCGCUCCCUGAAGGUGAUAAAAAGGCUGACGCUCUUUUGUGUCUCUCUCUCGCUCUCUCUCUCAUUGUUCCACCUGACGAAGGGCUGGCCCAGCCCGGGUAGCCCCCGACCUCACCACGAGGUGGCGGAGGCUGGCAGACGCCGAACUUCCCUGCCACGCUGCCAAGCGUGGACCGCAGGGAGCACCUGCCAGCUCCCCAAAUCUACCCUUUUGGGUGUGGGGCAGUUUACGGACGAGGCUCCGUUGGGAAGGAAUUGCAGUGAGAGCUUUCCCUGACCACGUGGCAAGCAUUGCCACUGCCACUUGAAGUGCAUAUUUUUCUCUUUGCUACCUUUUCCUACAAACCAUCCCUCGUGAGCGCUCUUGCCAAACCCCGGAAAGGUCGACUCGCCUGCCUGAAUUAGUCAACAUACGUAAGUCAAACUUGCAGUCUACUAAAAGUACAGAUUAGUGGAUAUUUGGGUUUUAAACUAAUGAGAACAUGAAUCCCCAGCUAUAGGCAUUGUCACUACAAGCUCAUUCUACCAAUCUCACAUCACAUGUCAGUUUCCUUUGCCAAUGUUCGUCUGUACUUCAUUUGUUUUGUGUUUUUCUGUAUUGCUUCCCUGUAUAUUCCCCAUGUUACAUCAUUGAAUUUUCCAUAAAAUUCACUACCUGCA